CAAUAGCGUAUAUUAAAGUUGUUGCAGUUAAAAAGCUCGUAGUUGGAUUUGUGGCGUACGACGGGCUCCGGGCACUUGUUGUCUGAGUAGCUUGUCGUUGCCAUCCUUGGGUGGAACCUGUGUGGCAUUAGGUUGUCGUGCAGGGGAUGCCCAUCUUUUACUGUGAAAAAAUUAGAGUGUUCAAAGCAGGCUUAUGCCGUUGAAUAUAUUAGCAUGGAAUAAUAAGAUAGGACUUUGUCGCCAUUUUGUUGGUUUGCGCGAUAAGGUAAUGAUUAAUAGGGACAGUUGGGGGUAUUCGUAUUCCAUUGUCAGAGGUGAAAUUCUUGGAUUUUUGGAAGACGAACUACUGCGAAAGCAUUUACCAAGGAUGUUUUCAUUA
rnacentral:rRNA from 1 species